rnacentral:rRNA from 1 species
UGGGAGGGACCAAGACUGCCCUCAGUGCCUUCCGCCGGGGGGUUAGCGCCUCGAGGGGCCACCCCUGCCGCUCUCAGGGUCUGUGGCUUAAAGAGGUUGGCUCCUUAUCCGACCCGUCCUGAAACACGGACCAAGGAGUUUGACAUGUGUGCGAGCCAUGGGGCUAUACGAAACCUAACGGCGAAAUGAAAGUGCAGGGCCCUCCGGCCCUAGUUUUGAUCCCGCUCCCGCGGGGGCAAGGCCGGCCCGUCUGGUAGGCCCUCUUUUGAGGAGGAACAAGAUAACCAGAGUUGGGACCCCAAAGAUGGUGAACUCCGCCUCCUUCCCAAA